GGAACGCCAGGAUGCCAGGACCGCCGUGAUCCGUGAAGUAAACAAACACGUGGUCGUUAGGGCCGCUGGGAGAGAGAACGGUAGAGAGACACAGAGACAGAGAGAGAGAACGGUAGAGAGACACAGAGACAGAGAGAGAGACAAUGAUAGAGAACGGUAGAGAGACACAGAGACAGAGAGAGAGAACGGUAGAGACACAGAGACAGAGAGAGAGACAAUGAUAGAGAACGGUAGAGAGACACAGAGACAGAGAGAGAGAACGGUAGAGAGACACAGAGACAGAGAGAGAGAACGGUAGAGAGACACAGAGACAGAGAGAGAGACAAUGAUAGAGAACGGUAGAGAGACACAGAGACAGAGAGAGAGACAAUGAUAGACGGUAGAGAGACACAGAGACAGAGAGAGAGACAAUGAUAGAGAUGUAGAGAGACACAGAGAGAGAGAGAGAGAGAGAGAACGGUAGAGAGACAAAGAGAGAGAACAGUAGAUAUGGAGAGAAAGACAGAGACACAGAGAGAGAGAGACAAUGGUACAGAGACAGAGAGACAAAGAAAGUUCAAGAUUUGCUUGUUUGGAGUAACAUGAUCAAACCAAACCAGGUCAGAGUUCUUUCAUGACAAUAAAUUCCUUGUCCUGAUUAUUAUAUCAGGUUAUAACUCACCUCUUGAGAACCUUCCCAGAACCGCCCUUCGCAUUGGCGGAGUCUCCCUUCAGAACCGCAAGGAAGUUCUCUGGUGUGACCGCCUGCACACACACACACACACACACACACACACACACACACACACACACACACACACACACACACACACACACACACACACACACACACACACACACACACACACACACACACACACACACACACACA